rnacentral:misc_RNA from 1 species
GAUGAAGAACGCAGCGAAAUGCGAUAAGUAAUGUGAAUUGCAGAAUUCAGUGAAUCAUCGAAUCUUUGAACGCACAUUGCGCCCCUUGGUAUUCCGAGGGGCAUGCCUGUUCGAGCGUCAUUAUAACCCCUCAAGCUCAGCUUGGUGUUGGGGCCCGCUGCACUGGCAGCCCUUAAAAUCAGUGGCGGCGCCAUCUGGCUCUAAGCGUAGUAAUUCUUCUCGCUAUGGAGUCCUGGUGGAUGCUUGCCAUCAACCCCCAAUUUUUCUAUGGUUGACCUCGGAUCAGGUAGGGAUACCCGCUGAACUUAAGCAUAUCAAUAAGCGGAGGA